GCUGAACUUAAGCAUAUCAAUAAGCGGAGGAAAAGAAACCAACAGGGAUUGCCUUAGUAACGGCGAGUGAAGCGGCAACAGCUCAAAUUUGAAAUCUGGCCUCUACAGGGUCCGAGUUGUAAUUUGUAGAGGAUGCUUCGGCGUUGGCCCCGGCCUAAGUUCCUUGGAACAGGACGUCAUAGAGGGUGAGAAUCCCGUAUGUGGCCGAUGUCCCUCGCCAUGUGAAGCUCCUUCGACGAGUCGAGUUGUUUGGGAAUGCAGCUCUAAAUGGGAGGUAAAUUUCUUCUAAAGCUAAAUACUGGCCAGAGACCGAUAGCGCACAAGUAGAGUGAUCGAAAGAUGAAAAGCACUUUGGAAAGAGAGUCAAAAAGUACGUGAAAUUGUUGAAAGGGAAGCGCUUGCAACCAGACCUGCCCGUGGCUGCUCAUCCAGGCUUCUGCCUGGUGCACUCUUCUGCGGUCAGGCCAGCAUCGGUUUGGGCGGUCGGACAAAGGCGGCGGGAAUGUGACUCCCUUCGGGGAGUGUUAUAGCCCGUCGUGCAAUGCGGCCAGUCCGGACCGAGGUCCGCGCUUCGGCUAGGAUGCUGGCGUAAUGGUUGUAAGCGGCCCGUCUUGAAACACGGACCAAGGAGUCUAACAUCUGUGCGAGUGUUUGGGUGUCAAGCCCGGGCGCGUAAUGAAAGUGAACGGAGGCGGGAACCCUAGGGUGCACCGUCGACCGAUCCUGAUGUCUUCGGAUGGAUUUGAGUAAGAGCAUAGCUGUUGGGACCCGAAAGAUGGUGAACUAUGCCUGAAUAGGGUGAAGCCAGAGGAAACUCUGGUGGAGGCUCGCAGCGGUUCUGACGUGCAAAUCGAUCGUCAAAUUUGGGCAUAGGGGCGAAAGACUAAUCGAACUAUCUAGUAGCUGGUUCCUGCCGAAGUUUCCCUCAGGAUAGCAGUAACGUAUUCAGUUUUAUGAGGUAAAGCGAAUGAUUAGAGGCCUGGGGGUUGAAACAACCUUCACCUAUUCUCAAACUUUAAAUAUGUAAGAAGUCCUUGUUACUUAGUUGAACGUGGACAUUUGAAUGUACCGUUACUAGUGGGCCAUUUUUGGUAAGCAGAA
rnacentral:rRNA from 1 species